UCUUAGAAAUUAAACUUAAGUAGUAAAGAAAUUUCCAAAACUUAAAGAAUUUGGCGGUGUUUUAAUCUUAUCAGAGGAACCUGCUUUCUAACCGACAGUACACGAAAACCUUACUUCUUCUAAAACUUGUAUAUCGUCGUAAAAAUUAUAUUUUUAAAUCAUAAUUGAUAAGAAUUUUAUUCUUUACAUCAGAUCAAGGUUCAGUAAAUGAAGAAGGCUAAAGUGGGUUACAAUGCAACCUCAUGCAAACGAAAUCUUAAAUGAAAAUAAAGAAGAAGGCGGAUUUAAGAGUAUUAAUAGAAAGUUUUCUAAUUUGAAUUAGCAAUAAAACAUGC
rnacentral:rRNA from 1 species